AGUUCCCUAUUCAGAGAUGAAUGUAUUUUUAUAGGAACUAACACCUGAAGUUCCCUAUUCAGAGAUGAAUGUAUUUUUAUAGGAAUAGCCAGCUGAAAAUUAAGUUACAUAUCAGAUAGAUCAUACAAGAAAUAAGAAAAGCUUUCCACUCUCUCUUUCUUUUCAUCUUUAUCGACCAAAACGUCUUCGCUGCUACUCAAAAUUUGAUCCAAUUUAGCACCAGAGCAAAAGAGAUAAUGAAUGAUCCGCCCCACCACUAGUUUCCUACAACCUUAUCUUAGACAGUCAUCGAUUCAUGUUUGUCAGAGGCGAUACCUGGAACCUCCUCUAUCCAGAACUCAGAACACUGUCGUCUAAGACCCUCCUGGGCCAGCAAGUGAGCCACUUAAUUUGUUUCCCUCUUGUGCUGCAUGUAACAGCUCAACCUAAAUCCUGCUCCAAUUUGCUUUCCAUCUUUAAUCAGCGCGCUCACACAUGGUCUGUCCUCUCCAUCUCGAAAUCCCAGUUCUUCAGCAAAGCGUAGAGCUUGGACCGCUGCCAGCCCUUCUACCACAAAAUAAUCAGGUACAUGGUCAUUCACUUGAAACCACGCUGCCAAAAUCUCUCCUGUAUCUCGAAUGAUUAUUCCUGAACUGGACUUUUGUCUAUCUUUUUGAAAUGCUGCAUCGAAAUUGAUUUUGACGCACGGAUCCGCCGGUGGUUUCCAUGUUACUGACCGAGUUCUUAUUACAAGCGUUUGGUCCUGGCCAAUCAUAUGCAGUUCUGCUACAUGCGCUCUCACAAAGGAAACAACGACUCCAUAUAAUUGGGCCAAGAAAUACUCAAUUCCUCCCAUACAUUGCGAGUGAAACAACAAUUCCUCACUACAUGCACACUUGACUCAGGAGUCAGGACAUAGGUGGCAUCUUGGACAUAGCGGGCUUGAAGCAAUCCUUAGAUUGUAGAAGUUAUCCAUAAUCGGAAUAAAAUUCCUAAGAAGUCUCCAGCAAGUAAUCUUUAUUUUUGGUGGGAUUUGUAUUGCCCUUAAGGCCUUGUAAUUGAAAUUCAUACGCCGGUCCUGUAGAGUAGAAGCAAUAGGAUCAAAAUUAUCUGAUGCAAUCAACUUGUAGCCACUCCAUACCGAGUAGAUUCCAGUGUUUAUCCCCA